ACAGUCGUGGCCGAGUGGUUAAGGCGAUGGACUCGAAAUCCAUUGGGGUCUCCCCGCACAGGUUCGAAUCCUGUCGGCUGCG
rnacentral:tRNA from 1 species